rnacentral:rRNA from 3 species
CACGUAGGGUGCGAGCGUUGUCCGGAAUUAUUGGGCGUAAAGAGCUCGUAGGCGGUGUGUCGCGUCGGCCGUGAAAACCUGCAGCUUAACUGUGGGCUUGCGGUCGAUACGGGCAUCACUGGAGUUCGGCAGGGGAGACUGGAAUUCCUGGUGUAGCGGUGAAAUGCGCAGAUAUCAGGAGGAACACCGGUGGCGAAGGCGGGUCUCUGGGCCGAUACUGACGCUGAGGAGCGAAAGCGUGGGGAGCGAA